rnacentral:lncRNA from 1 species
CCUAGAUGCCAGAUCGGCUGACACAUUCCUAUACAAAUCUAAGGGCAAAAUUAUAAUUUUGACUAUAAAUGAAUAAAAGGGUUAUUCUUCUAUCACAUUAUGUACAUUGUGUCUGUGAUACAUCCUUUGAGUUAGUGGGAAUGUUAAUUCAUAUUUUCAAGAGUUGAAAAUUUAAGGCAUGAAUUUACAUAACUAACUCAUAAACUGCUCCUGACCAUAGGAUCGUCACAAGGAUGGAGAUCGAUCCGGAAGGUUGG